CGGGUGCACUGAUCCAGCCGGGCCUUUCCCUCUGUGGAACCCCAUGGCCUUCACUGGCUGUGGUGGGGAAACAGGACUCUUACUUUGAAAAAAUUAGAGUGCUCCAGGCAGGCCUAUGCUCGAAUACAUUAGCAUGGAAUAAUAGAAUAGGACGUGUGGUUCUAUUUUGUUGGUUUCUAGGACCGCCGUAAUGAUUAAUAGGGACAGUCGGGGGCAUCAGUAUUCAAUUGUCAGAGGUGAAAUUCUUGGAUCUAUUGAAGACUAACUACUGCGAAAGCAUUUGCCAAGGAUGUUUUCAUUGAUAAGGAACGAAAGUUAGGGGAUCGAAGACGAUCAGAUACCGUCGUAGUCUUAACUAUAAACUAUGCCGACUAGGGAUCGGACGAUGUUAUUCUUUGACGCGUUCGGCACCUUUCGAGAAAUCAAAGUGCUUGGGCUCCAGGGGGAGUAUGGUCGCAAGGCUGAAACUUAAAGAAAUUGACGGAAGGGCACCACCAGGGGUGGAACCUGCGGCUUAAUUUGACUCAACACGGGGAAACUCACCAGGUCCAGACACAGUGAGGAUUGACAGAUUGAGAGCUCUUUCUUGAUUCUGUGGGUGGUGGUGCAUGGCCGUUCUUAGUUGGUGGAGUGAUUUGUCUGCUUAAUUGCGAUAACGGACGAGACCUUAACCUGCUAAAUAGCCCGUACUGCUUUGGCAGUUCGCCGGCUUCUUAGAGGGACUAUCGG
rnacentral:rRNA from 1 species